UCUCGGCUCUUGCAUCGAUGAAGAACGUAGUGAAAUGCGAUACUUGGUGUGAAUUGCAGAAUCUCGUGAACCAUUGAGUCUUUGAACGCAAGUUGUGCCCGAGGCCUUGUGGUCAAGGGCACGCCUGCUUGGGCGUCAUGGCAUCGUCGCCUUUGCUCCUUGCUU
rnacentral:rRNA from 1 species